rnacentral:lncRNA from 1 species
AAUCAAGAUAAAACUGAAAGCAACUUAUGUAUUUCCUACUUAUUUAAUACUUUUCUAUUUGUUUAGUCAUAGGAAAAAGGCAUAUGCAGCCAUUAGGCAUAUACAUACAUUACCGUGCACAUUACUUUGUGAACCUCUAUUAUUUACCAGCAGCCCAAUAUUAUUUCACAUUUGAAGCUGUCUGCCUGAGACAACGGAGAAUGGUAUAUCAGUAACUUAUGAGGUGCCUAUGUAAGAUAGAAACUUAGACUAGAUGAGUGAGUCUCAAAUGUUGGGAUACCACAGAAUCACCUGGGGAGCUUGUUAAAAAUACAGAUAUCUUGGCUCAAGAGUAUCUGUAUUUUGACCAAGCUCACCUAGGUGGCUGGUGUGUACCAAUAUUUGUAAAAUAUUGAGUUUGGUGACCUAUAAAAUCUUUUUAAACUCUAAGAUUAUAUGAGCCUACAAAACAGAUAUAUAUGUGUCUUCAAAGACCUCAUGAUAUCAAACUUAAUCAAUUAAAAGAAAACUUCUUUUGAAAGUCUCUUAUAAAGGAAACCAAUGUUUUAGCCAUUCUUCUUUGUUCCUAGUUGUCCCUCCAGUGAGUUUGUGUCACUCUUCACAGUCUGUAUUUCUCCUGCUUACAUGUGAUUCCCACAUGUUCUACAGAGUCUAAAGGCAUAUGAGGUAGCUGUAUAACAUUUCACAAGAUGAAUGUACCACAAAUUUUAAUCCUUCUAUUGUUGAUGGAUUUGGAUUAUUACCAACUUUUGGCCUUUGAGCCAGUCUAGGAUUCACGAUGUAACCAUGGAGCAGAUGCUUUGAGGUGAAUGACAUUUCCAGCAUUGAAGGACAGCAUAGACACGGAAAUACAUUUUAUGGCGUGCCAGUGGGUGUGGUGGGUCUCAGGGAUGCAAGGUGGGUGAGACUCCCUGUCUGUUCCUGAGGAGCUCUGGUGAGUGGGAAGGAGAAGGGAACACUCGAAGAGCAUGGCAGCCUUAAAGAGGCAGUGGGCUGAGGAGGCUCGCUCUGUGUUCAGAAAUUGGAACAGGGUUGUAGAAAGGAUGCUGUGUGGCUGUUAAAGUAAACUCCACCCAUUUUAGAAUUUUCCUUGGAAGCGGCCUCAAUGUCUAGAAAAGAGUGGGAAAAAUCUUUCCCCUUUUCAAAUUUGUUCUUUUUUGAGCCAUGCAACUUUAAUUCUAAGAAUAAAACAUUCAUGCUUCUAGUUGUAGUUUCCUUGGACAGCUAAACUGUGGAUAAAAUAGGAAUUUGGGUGCUAACCCCAAAAUCUAAAUGCUACUGAAGGGGCUGUUAUCUCUGCAUGAAUUCCUCAUAAAACCGAAAAGCUACCCAAUAGGUGCUGAAAACAGGUCAAAUACCAUAUUAGAUGUCACAUUGGGUAGCACACACACAUGGGAAAGCACAAAGACUGGCUUAGAGUGCCAAAGUAAGAAAUGGAUCACACUG